rnacentral:lncRNA from 1 species
UCGGAUUUGGGUCGGAUCCGGAUCUCAAAUUUCAAGAUCCAAAUUCAGAUUCGUUUUAAAAAAUGAGAUCCAAAUCCGCGGAUCCAAAAAAUUGAGAUCCAGGUCCGUAAAACAGAUCUAGAUCCACGAAUCUGGACCGGGUCCAGGAUCCAUUGCCAUCCGUAAACAUAUCAUAAGCAGCUAUAAAAGGAAAGCAAGGUCCCCCCAAUAUUUCAAACAUAAACAUUUAAAGAGCGAAAAAGAAGAAGAGAAAAUAUGGAUUAUUUUCCUCUUCUGGCUGCACUCUUUUUCAUCAGCGCCGCAACAUGGUUUAUCUCCUCCCGGCGGCGGAGUAACCUCCCACCGGGGCCAUUCCCGUAUCCGAUCGUCGGAAACAUGCUGCAGCUGGGGGCCCAACCCCACGAGACAUUCGCCAAACUGUCAAAGAAAUACGGCCCGCUGAUGUCGGUCCAUCUCGGCAGCCUGUACACCGUGAUCGUGUCCUCGCCGGAGAUGGCGAAAGAGAUCAUGCUGAAAUACGGGACGGUGUUCUCCGGCAGAACGGUGGCGCAGGCGGUGCACGCGUGCGACCACGACAAGAUCUCGAUGGGGUUCCUCCCGAUCGGGGCGGAGUGGCGCGACAUGCGCAAGAUAUGCAAAGAGCAGAUGUUCUCGCACCAGAGCAUGGAAGACAGCCAGGGCCUCCGCAAGCAGAAGCUGCAGCAGCUGCUCGACCACGCCCACAGAUGCUCCGAGCAGGGCCGCGCCAUCGACAUCCGCGAGGCCGCCUUCAUCACCACCCUCAACCUCAUGUCCGCCACCCUCUUCUCCAUGCAGGCCACCGAGUUCGACUCCAAGGUCACCAUGGAGUUCAAGGAGAUCAUCGAGGGCGUCGCCAGCAUCGUCGGCGUCCCCAACUUCGCCGACUACUUCCCCAUCCUCCGCCCCUUCGACCCGCAGGGGGUCAAGCGCAGGGCCGACGUCUACUUCGGCAGACUGCUGGCUCUAAUCGAGGGCUAUCUCAACGACAGAAUCCAAUCCAGAAAGGCCAACCCCGACGCCCCCAAGAAGGAUGACUUCCUCGAGACGCUCGUCGAUAUUCUCAACUCCAACGACAACAAGCUCAAGACCGAUCACCUCCUGCAUCUCAUGCUCGACCUCUUCGUCGGGGGUUCGAGACGAGCACCACCGAGAUCGAGUGGAUCAUGGAGGAGCUCGUGGCGCACCCGGACAAGAUGGCCAAGGUGAAGGCGGAGCUGAAGAGCGUGAUGGGGGAUGGAGAAGGUGGUGGACGAGUCGCUCAUGCCCAGGCUGCCGUAUCUGCAAGCGGUCGUCAAGGAUCCAUGCGGCUGCACCCGCCGGGCCCACUCCUUCUUCCUCGCAAGGCGGAGAGCGAUCAAGUCGUCAACGGCUACCUCAUCCNUAUAUAUAUAUUAUAAAUAUAAUUCAGUUUUCGGUUUGUCGGUUUUAAAAAAUCCGAACCGAACCGAAUCGAAAACCGAAAUUUUAUGAAAAAAAAUUGAACCGAACCGAAAACCGAAAAACCGAACCAUAUUUUAAAAUUCCGGUUUGGAUCGGUUCGGUUAUUCGGUUUCAGAUUUUUUGCUCACCCCUACAGAAAAUGCAAAGCCUUUCCACCAAUUUCGUUCCAUUCUUAUACAAUAAAAUAAACUUAGAUUAAAAGAGUCAAAAUUGGUAGGCAUAAUGUGGGGACCAUGACCCCUACAUAAAAUAACGUACCUAGGGAUGGCUCUAUCUGACCUAGGGAUGGCAACAAGCCAUCAAUAUCAGAUCUAGAUCGUGGAUCUAAAAAUUUAGAUUCCAUGAUUUUACAUUUUUAAAUAAAUUAAAAAAAAAUUACAAAAAUUCCACAAAAUUUAAUUUUUCAUCAUGAAAAACUAGAAAGUAGGAGCGGUCCGAGAAGGUGAUCAGCGAGCUGGAGUGAUCUAAGAGGUUCGAGAAGGUGGCCGACGAACUGAAGAGGGAGAUGGAAGUGAGGCGGCGGGUUCACGAGUGAGGGACCGAGAGGGAGAAAGUAGAAAGUAGAAACUAGAAACUAGGGUUUGCAAAGUAAUUCUAAUUUAUCUAUUAUUUUUAAUUUUUAAUAUAUCUAAUAUUAUUAAUAAAAUAAAUAUAAAAAAUAAAUAAUAUAUAUUAUAUAAAAUAGAUCUACAGGUCGGAUCAGGGUCGGAUCCGGAUCUCAAAUUUCAAGAUCCAAAUCCAGAUUCGUUUUAAAAAAUGAGAUCCAGAUCCGCAGGUCCAAAAAAUUGAAAUCCAGGUCCAUAAAACGGAUCUAAAAUCCACGAAUCUGGACCGGAUCCAGGAUCCAUUGCCAUCCGUGAUAUGAUUAGUUCCGUAAACAGUAUACAUAAGCAGCUAUAAAGGAAAGCAAGGUCCCCCAAUAUUCAAACAUAAACAUUUAAAGAGCGAAAAGAAGAAGUAGAAAUAUGGAUUAUUUUCCUCUUCUGGCUGCACUCUUUUUCAUCAGCGCCGCAACGAUGGUUUAUCUCUUCCCGGCGGCGGAGGAACCUCCCACCGGGGCCAUUCCCGUAUCCGAUCGUCGGAAACAUGCUGCAGCUGGGGCCCAACCCACGAGACAUUCGCCAAACUGUCAAAGAAAUACGGCCCGCUGAUGUCGGUCCACCUCGGCAGCCUGUACACCGUGAUCGUGUCCUCGCCGGAGAUGGCGAAAGAGAUCAUGCUGAAAUACGGGACGGUGUUCUCCGGCAGAACGGUGGCGCAGGCGGUGCACGCGUGCGACCACGACAAGAUCUCGAUGGGGUUCCUCCCGAUCGGG